rnacentral:pre_miRNA from 1 species
GGGGGGAAGCCGGAUCCUGGGCUGUGUCCCCGGCAUCCUGUGCUCCCUGGCCUGCGCUGUUGGAUUCGUGCUCCCGGCCAUGCAGCCCCUU